rnacentral:rRNA from 1 species
AGAUUGAACGCUGGCGGAAUGCUUUACACAUGCAAGUCGAACGGCAGCACGGGGGCAACCUUGGUGGCGAGUGGCGAACGGGUGAGUAAUACAUCGGGACGUGCCCAGUCGUGGGGGAUAACGUAGCGAAAGCUACGCUAAUACCGCAUACGAACUCUGGUUGAAAGCGGGGGAUCGCAAGACCUCGCGCGAUUGGAGCGGCCGAUGGCAGAUUAGGUAGUUGGUGGGGUAAAGGCCUACCAAGCCGACGAUCUGUAGCUGGUCUGAGAGGACGACCAGCCACACUGGGACUGAGACACGGCCCAGACUCCUACGGGAGGCAGCAGUGGGGAAUUUGGACAAUGGGCGCAAGCCUGAUCCAGCCAUUCCGCGUGCAGGAUGAAGGCCCUGGGUUGUAAACUGCUUUUGUACGGAACGAAAGGCUCUGGUUAAUACCUGGGCUCAUGACGGUACCGUAAGAAUAAGCACGGCUAACUACGUGCCAGCAGCCGCGGUAA